rnacentral:rRNA from 1 species
UACGUAGGGUGCGAGCGUUGUCCGGAAUUAUUGGGCGUAAAGGGCUCGUAGGCGGUUUGUCACGUCGGGAGUGAAAACUCGGGGCUUAACCCCGAGCCUGCUUCCGAUACGGGCUGACUAGAGGUAUGCAGGGGAGAACGGAAUUCCUGGUGUAGCGGUGAAAUGCGCAGAUAUCAGGAGGAACACCGGUGGCGAAGGCGGGUCUCUGGGCCAUAACUGACGCUGAGGAGCGAAAGCGUGGGGAGCGAACAGG